CAGUGUACCCGCGGCAAGACGGAAAGACCCCGUGAACCUUUACUAUAGCUUGACACUGAACACUGGUCCUUGAUGUGUAGGAUAGGUGGGAGGCUUUGAAGCGUGGACGCCAGUCUGCGUGGAGCCGCCCUUGAAAUACCACCCUUUAAUGGCUGGUGUUCUAACGUAGACCCGUGAUCCGGGUUGCGGACAGUGUCUGGUGGGUAGUUUGACUGGGGCGGUCUCCUCCCAAAGAGUAACGGAGGAGCACGAAGG
rnacentral:rRNA from 1 species